UCAAAUUGAAGCCUCAGAACGACACAGAUUAGCUAACUAGCUAACGUGAUCUCUUCGCCGAAAAAGUAGCUAUGUCAACCGAUCUGGAACAGAGACCGUGGAGCAUGUAUUGACAAACAAACUUUGCUGCCCUGUUUCCAGUCGUCCACAUGGCUGGGAGAACCUAUUCAAAGAGCUGUGGAAGCCUGUCUGCAGAUGAAGAGGUCACAAUGAAGAGCAGUGGUUCUCAGUCCUGGUCCUGGGGACUCAGAGGGGUGCACAUUUUUGCUUUUGCCUUAGCAAUUCCUGAGGGGAAUUCCGGCGUGUGAAGGCUACCUGUGUCCUGUAUAACUUCAUGAGGAUGGACACAAAGACCAGGAGGGGAUCUGCAGCUCGCCGCCGUGUGCCAAAGGAGAGGUCUGCUGCUCUGCAGGAUGUUGCCAGGAUGGGGGCCAACAACGCAGAACGGGAGGCAAUCCGUGUGCGGGAGAUCUUCACCUCCUACUUCUUCGAAGAGGGUGCUGUUACCUGACAACACCAUAGACUACACUAUGCACAACCAAACCACAUUGCAAUAAGAGUAUUCUUCCAUUUACUUAGCUAUGUCAACUGCAGUUAUUCAAUUCACAGUUUCUCUCCCUUUGAUUUCUACUUCUCAGGUAAGGGUGCUGUUUAGGAAAGGGUGAUGUCUGUACAAAAACAAAACAGGCCCUUUUAAGAGUCACCCAUAUUUAUUUAUUUUUAUUUAUUUUUUACAAUUAGACACCCUAUAACCCACACCUACACACUUUUGUAUCAAUCUGAUUGAUGGAUUGUGUUGUGCAGUAAGCAGGCUCAGGUGUAUAAUUGUGGCUGCUCCCACCUUCAAAGAAUAGGCAAGAGGACCAACCAUGGAGAAUAGUAAGACACUUCAUUAUAUCUAUUUAUAUAACUACACUAUAUUGUUUGUCCUCAUGUGUCUGCAUGUUUUUCAGUAUAAAGUACUCUGCAGCCACUUAGUGAGGACACCAGGUGAGGCCACACACACAUAUUCCUGUUGAACACUUGUCUCUUAAACUACCUUAUUUUCUCAAUAACAGUCUUUCUCCUUCACUUCAUCCCUCUCCCCAAAUGCUCUAGGUUAUAUCAGCUGUGUCUGUGAACCCCUCCCGCAUCUGAAAAGGCUACAUAGAGGGCACAGCAUGAUCAGAGGUAUGUUUUGAUGUGAGAGAGGAUGCCAACCCCCAGUCCCGUCAUCACCACCUCACCCGCACUUAAGAUAACCUUCGGGUCAACUGGGGGUCCAAGGCUGUUAGGAGACACCGCUAGAGACACUAUUAUGUAAUUGUGAUGAACUGAGAGAAUAUUAGGGUAGCACUGUGAUUCAUUAAUCAUAUGUUGUCUUCCCUGCUCCUCUGUUCUUACCUCUUUCCCUUUCUGUCUUUUACACUCUUUCUCACACCUCUCUCUCCACCUCCUCUUUCUGCCUGUUUUUAUAAUGCACACCAGAUGUGCAUUGAAGUACAGAUUGAACUUGUAUUUGUAAUGUAUUACAAUUAUAAUAUUUAUGAUGCAUGUAUUUAUAACAAGUGUUUCACAUUCUCUACUGGUUGAAAUGAAGUCUCUCAUUUGAUGAAAUACUACACCUAUCCUAUGGGGCCAAUUUCACCCCAUAUGUAUUGAAUUUAAAAUAAAAUAAAUCGUAAACAUGA